rnacentral:rRNA from 1 species
AUUGAACGCUGGCGGCAUGCCUUACACAUGCAAGUCGAACGGUAACAGGUCUUCGGAUGCUGACGAGUGGCGAACGGGUGAGUAAUACAUCGGAACGUGCCUAGUAGUGGGGGAUAACUACUCGAAAGAGUGGCUAAUACCGCAUGAGAUCUACGGAUGAAAGCAGGGGAUCGCAAGACCUUGUGCUACUAGAGCGGCCGAUGGCAGAAUUAGGAAGUUGGUGGGAUAAAAGCUUACCAAGCCGACGAUCUGUAGCUGGUCUGAGUGGAAGAUCUGCCACACUGGGACGGAGACACGGCCCAGACUCCUACGGGAGGCAGCAGUGGGGAAUUUUGGACAAUGGGCGCAAGCCUGAUCCAGCAAUGCCGCGUGCAGGAUGAAGGCCUUCGGGUUGUAAACUGCUUUUGUACGGAACGAAAAGCCCUGGGUUAAUACCCUGGGGUCAUGACGGUACCGUAAGAAUAAGCACCGGCUAACUACGUGCCAGCCGCCGCGGUAACAC